AACCGACCUUGGUCCUCCUAUAUAUACUGCUUACCGUGGUCGGCCAAAGACACACCGAAAAACAUCUAGGGUUUUGCCUCGUCUCACCACUUUUGCCGCCGUCGUAGUCUACCUCAUAUCGAACGCCGGCGUGCAUCGGCAUGCGAGAGGGCAUGUCUCCGGAACCAUUCGUCUUUACGAUCCUGCACCGGGGGAGGACGAAUUAGGUUUUUGGGAAGCGCUUUGCGCGACUACUCAAACCCUUCACUACGGGUCGUCUACCGUUCAAGUCGGGCGGUGCUACUCAUCGUCGUCUUCAUCGUCAUCAACAGAAGAUCGUCACCAACAUCAUCGUCAACACAGUCGUUCCUGCUGCAACUAACGAAUAGUAUGUUAGUCAUAAUGUGUUAAUGUUCUUCGUUGUAGCUUCUACUUCAUGCGCGGUGAUGAUAUGUAUGUUUGGUUGCUCUUCUAGAUUGAUAGAGUAUUGCAUUCUAUCUUCUUGUUCUAGUCAUGAAUUAUUUAUUAGAAUUAAUCAUGAACUUGCCUAAUCUUUCAAUAGUGUAUAUAUAAUGGUUUUGGCCUCCAAAUAAUACAUGUUGCUUCCAUAACAAUGUUAUUAAAGCUUAGGUUAACUCGUGCAUGAUCCUCCCAUCACGCCGUCGUCGUCUUCUUGCGCGUCGUCGCAGCUCCCUCAUUUUCACUGCCGCCUUUUCUUCAAUUCCGGUUGCUGCUGUCGCUGCUCCCUCAUCUCUGCGCAUGCCUCCUAGAUCGAUGUUGUCAGGCCGCCGCUCCACCUCCUGUAUUCUCCCAUUUGGCUCCUUCUGCCUUCUGGUUCACCCCACGUAGGAUACUGCCGCCGGUCCUUGCUCCUUACCAGCAGCCACCAAGGAGGUUCUCCGCCAUCGCUGAUGAAUUUUAGUCCGCGCUCGCAGUCCAUUUGGAGUUGCUCUUCUGGCCACCGCCCGCAGUCCUUUCGACGCUGCUCCUUCGUCUGCCGCCCCGAGGCCAUCCACCGUUGCUCGCUGGCUCCGCUUCAUCCCACCCGUCAGUCUCUAACUUUGCGUGGUGCUUCUCCUGUUUCGUCCGCCGCCCUCAAGAUCGAAUCUGGAUCACAUGUGACAAUUUAGCGUGGGUUGUUUAUCUGCUGGGCUCAAGAUAGUUUCGUUAAAAAAAGAGAAAAAAGGAAAAGAAAAAAGAAUUAAAAAACAAUGCUUUCG
rnacentral:lncRNA from 1 species